rnacentral:miRNA from 1 species
GGAUGGAGGAGGUGUCG